AUUGAACGCUGGCGGCAGGCCUAACACAUGCAAGUCGAGCGGAUGAAGGGAGCUUGCUCCUGGAUUCAGCGGCGGACGGGUGAGUAAUGCCUAGGAAUCUGCCUGGUAGUGGGGGAUAACGUCCGGAAACGGGCGCUAAUACCGCAUACGUCCUGAGGGAGGAAGUGGGAGAUCUUCGGACCUCACGCUAUCAGAUGAGCCUAGGUCGGAUUAGCUAGUUGGUGGGGUAAAGGCCUACCAAGGCGACGAUCCGUAACUGGUCUGAGAGGAUGAUCAGUCACACUGGAACUGAGACACGGUCCAGACUCCUACGGGAGGCAGCAGUGGGGAAUAUUGGACAAUGGGCGAAAGCCUGAUCCAGCCAUGCCGCGUGUGUGAAGAAGGUCUUCGGAUUGUAAAGCACUUUAAGUUGGGAGGAAGGGCAGUAAGUUAAUACCUUGCUGUUUUGACGUUACCAACAGAAUAAGCACCGGCUAACUUCGUG
rnacentral:rRNA from 1 species